UCUUUGGAUUAGCGGCGGACGGGUGAGUAACACGUGAGCAACCUGCCGUACACAUUGGGAUAGCCUCGGGAAACUGGGAUUAAUACCAAACGAAACAUAUUGAUAGCAUUAUCAAAAUGUCAAAGAUUUAUCGGUGUACGAUGGGCUCGCGUCUGAUUAGCUAGUUGGUGAGAUAAAAGCUCACCAAGGCGAUGAUGGGUAGCCGGCCUGAGAGGGUGAACGGCCACACUGGAACUGAGACACGGUCCAGACUCCUACGGGAGGCAGCAGUGGGGAAUAUUGCACAAUGGAGGAAACUCUGAUGCAGCGACGUCGCGUGAACGAUGAAGGCUUUCGGGUCGUAAAGUUCUGUCCUUGGGGAAGAUAAUGACGGUACCCAAGGAGGAAGCCCCGGCUAACUACGUGCCAGCAGCCGCGGUAAUACGUAGGGGGCGAGCGUUGUCCGGAUUUAUUGGGCGUAAAGGGUUCGCAGGUGGCCUUUUAAGUCAGAUGUGAAAGAUCACAGCUCAACUGUGGUAAGCAUUUGAAACUGAAAGGCUUGAGUUAAGGAGAGGAAAGUGGAAUUCCUAGUGUAGCGGUGAAAUGCGUAGAUAUUAGGAGGAAUACCAGUGGCGAAGGCGACUUUCUGGACUUAUACUGACACUGAGGAACGAAAGCGUGGGGAGCAAACAGGAUUAGAUACCCUGGUAGUCCACGCCGUAAACGAUGAGUGCUAGGUGUCGGGUGUCAAAGCUCGGUGCCCGCAGCUAACGCAUNAAGCACUCCGCCUGG
rnacentral:rRNA from 1 species